CAAAACAACUCAGAGAGAGAGAGAGAGAGAGAGAGAGAGAGAGAGAGAGAGAGAGAGAGAGAGAGAGAGAUUGUGGUAUAGAGGUUCGAAGAGUUGGAGACGACUCACUACAGAUGCUAAAGAAGGAGAGGCGCGCAACGGUUGUCUCCAAAUCUUUUCGUCGCUGUUGUCGAGUUUUAGAGGCAUUCUUUGCUAAAACUCUCAAUGGAAACAACAAGAGAUGGCCACAGGAGCAGUUGUUCCCUGCAACAGCAAGAGAGUCACAAUAUCCAAUGGCGAGAUAACGCUGUCAUUAGCUGGACUUGAGACAUUUGGAUUUUAAUUUCAUUGAAUCUAAAGCGGAGUUUUCUUUUGGAACCAAUUUGGAUUAUGGAUUCGGAUUGCUGAAAAACAUUUUGCUCUGGCUGCCGGAGUCCCGACUCCGUAGCGCAAAGAGAGAGUGAGAGAGCGCUUAUUAUUCUACUUCUUCACACGCCCACAGGUCGAUCUAAUUUUUCCUUCUUCUCGACUCACAUAUUUCAUGGCAAUGAUUUCCAUAGAAGUUUUUGUGAUUAAUUACUAUUCUGCCAGAUUCAUAUAUCCAAGAAACGUAUAGGUGUUACCUUUGUGAUAAUGUUUUUUCUAGUUUGUUUUUUUUUUUUUUGUUAAUUCUACGGGACUGUUAAUUCAUUUUUAUCAUAGACUGUUUUUGUUUGUUUUUUGAAUUUUCUUGUUGCAACGAAAAAAAAAAAACUACACACGGUCAUCUGUUUUGAUUCUUUCCUAAACAGGUGUUUUUUCUAUUUUGAAUCAUUGAGAAAUAUCAAGCUAAAAUAAAUCUACGAGUGUAAGUCGAAAAUGGAUGCUAUGUAGUAAAUUUAACUUUCUUUUUGAAUUCUUUCAUAUGUUCCAUAUACCCCGAAGGAGUUUUUUACAGGGAAAUCAACAUCUGAGUGUUGGGACUUUCAUUUGCUGCAGUCAUGAAAUUUAAAGCUGAACAAAAAAGGGUACGAAUUUCUCAGUAAAUUAUUGCAUGCUCUUUUGUGGAUUAAUUGCUCGUCUAUUGCUUUGAUGUAGUUUGGUGACAUUAUUUAGCUCUCUUUUUUCAACCAAAUCUUGGUAUUCUUAUUUUUGUGUGGAUGAUCUCACGAAGUGAGGAAGUAUAUGCAUUGCCAUGCAGAAAAAGGGACUGAAUUCAUUUACUGAUUACUUUAGUAGUAUGGGUCAACUUUGGUGUGAUUGAUGUAGCACGAAAACGAUAUAGAAUAAAACUUUUUGCCGAUACAAUUCUUUCACAGCCUUGGUUUUUGUUAGAACCAAAGGAUGUGCACCUAAGUUUAAACAUUUUCGACAAAAAAAAAAACAAAUGGUCCAGUUUAAUGUCUCUAACAAUGAAAUCCUGAAUAAUUAAUUUGUGUUUCUGCACACUUUUCUCCCCUUUUGAUUUUGUAUUCAGUAGACAUAAAUAAUUACUUGAUUAAUAUGAGAUCCUAAAAGGAUAAGUAAACUACAUAGUUAAGUAUUUGGAUGAUAUGUACAUGUUCUACUCUCUCUCUCUCUCUCUCUCUCUCUCUCUCUCUCUCUCUCUCUCUCUCUCUCUCUCUC